rnacentral:rRNA from 1 species
UACGUAGGGUGCAAGCGUUGUCCGGAAUUAUUGGGCGUAAAGAGCUCGUAGGCGGUCUGUCGCGUCGGCUGUGAAAACUCGGGGCUCAACUCCGAGCUUGCAGUCGAUACGGGCAGGCUAGAGUGUGGUAGGGGAGAUCGGAAUUCCUGGUGUAGCGGUGAAAUGCGCAGAUAUCAGGAGGAACACCGGUGGCGAAGGCGGAUCUCUGGGCCAUUACUGACGCUGAGGAGCGAAAGCGUGGGGAGCGAACAGG